rnacentral:RNase_P_RNA from 1 species
CGCGCCGGCCGGACCGCCGCUCCGCUCGCGGAGAGGAAAGUCCGGACACCGCAGGGCACCCCGCUCCGUGAAAACGGAGGCGCCUCCGGGCGACGACACGUGCAACAGAGAACAGACCAGCCGAUGGCCCUCCGGGGCACAGGUGAUGGGUGAAACGGUGGGGUAAGAGCCCACCAGCGCGCUCGGGCGACCGACGCGGCUAGGCAAACUCCGGGGGGUGCAAGGCCACGCAGCGCUCUCGUCGCGAGACGAGCGGACGGCCCGUCCGAUGAGCGCGGGUAGGCCGCGCAGAUAGAUGGCGGUCCAGGGCUUCGGCCCGGACAGAAUCCGGCUUACAGGCCGGCGCGCGCG